AACAAUCGAAGCCCUCAAUCGACAUCGACUUUCAUCCACAACUACAAUGAGGAUUAGGCAAGUGUUGCGCACGGCUGUUACCCUUAUGCUGGUGAUAUCCUCAUCCGGCAUGGCGACGCAACCAGUUCAGAGACGAACCACGAGACGAAUUCGGCCAUCAGGGACGGGUCAUGCGGUGCUAACCAGUGCACGGCGUACUGCCAAAGCAAGUAGCAAGGGGCAGGCACGUGUUUUCCGAAGGGAUGGAAGUGCUCGCUCUUCAAGGAUAUUCAUCCCCCGAGGAACUAGAUAUAGCUAGUUGCAUCGCAUACCAUGUAUAAAGUUUUUUCGUGCAAGAAAUUCCAACUAAAUAAAUAAGGAAAAAAUGUUUCCUUUUGGAAAAUCAAAUUAAUUUGUUGCUC